rnacentral:ncRNA from 1 species
UGUAUAUAUGUGUGUGUGUAUAUAUGUGUGUGUGUGUGUAUAUAUGUAUUUAUGUACUUCGUGCAUUACUGCUAGUCCCCAUGAAUAAUAAAUA